UGAAAGGCAGCUCAAAGAGAGAGAGGGAGAAACGUGUUUAUGCGCUAUAGGAAACGGGCAACGCUUCGCUCUCGCCCGUUUCCGCCGGGGCAAGGCAGCGAGACCAGGGCUGAUCCCCGGCGAGGCGCAGAGACACCGAGAUUCCCUGUGACGAUGGUACCGAUGCUGGGCUCGGCGCUUGUGCUGGUUUUUGUUUCAGGCGCCCCGGGCAGAGCCGAGAUCCUGCAGCCGCGCUCCGCAGAACACGCGGAGGGAGCCGAACUGAACCUCACCUGCUCUCACGGUUCCAUCACCACCGAAACUAUAUUUUGGUACCGGCAGUUCCCGAACCAAGGGCCCCAGUAUAUAGUCUCGGGAUACCAGGGAAUCUUUAACAGCAUCGACCCAGAGGGAGCUUUGCACGUUCCGGCAGACAGAAAAUCCAGCACAUUGUCCCUGCGCAGGGCGAGGCUGGCAGACGCAGCGGUGUAUUAUUGUGCUCUGAGCGACACAGUGUGACAGCCAGGGGCGGUUCCUGCACAAUAAGUAUCUCACUCCGGUGCCACGGACAGAGCUAAGAUCUAGCAGCCGGUCUCAGAGGAAGCUUUGGAGGGAGCCAAACUGAAUCUCUCCUGC